UACGGAGGGUGCGAGCGUUAAUCGGAAUUACUGGGCGUAAAGGGUGCGUAGGUGGUAGAUUAAGUUAGCUGUGAAAUUCCUGGGCUCAACCUGGGCAUGUCAGCUAAUACUGGUGUACUUGAGUAUAGGAGAGGGUAGUGGAAUUUCCGGUGUAGCGGUGAAAUGCGUAGAGAUCGGAAGGAACACCAGUGGCGAAGGCGGCUACCUGGCCUAAUACUGACACUGAGGCACGAAAGCGUGGGGAGCAAACAGG
rnacentral:rRNA from 1 species